rnacentral:rRNA from 1 species
UUCGAUGCAACGCGUAGAACCUUACCUGGGUUUGACAUGGAUCGGGAGUGCUCAGAGAUGGGUGUGCCUCUUUUGGGGUCGGUUCACAGGUGGUGCAUGCCUGUCGUCAGCUCGUGUCGUGAGAUGUUGGGUUAAGUCCCGCAACGAGCGUAACCCUUGUUCACUGUUGCCAGCACGUUAUGGUGGGGACUCAGUGGAGACCGCCGGGGUCAACUCGGAGGAAGGUGGGGAUGACGUCAAGUCCUCAUGCCCCUUAUGUCCAGGGCUUCACGCAUGCUACAAUGGCUGGUACAGAGAGUGGCGAGCCUGUGAGGGUGAGCGAAUCUCGGAAAGCCGGUCUCAGUUCGGAUUGGGGUCUGCAACUCGACCUCAUGAAGUCGGAGUCGCUAGUAAUCGCAGAUCAGCAACGCUGCGGUGAAUACGUUCCCGGGG